UGGUCCUGCUCGCAGCAGCCUUGCUGGCCCUGAGCUCAGCUCAGAGCUCAAAUGAAGAGGUCAGCUAUGAAGACUUUUCCUCCUUGGUAUCAGAAGUUGAGGAUUCAAGCCAGAGCCCUCUUCAAGAGUCUCCGACACCACCUCCUGGAGGAUACCCACCCAGACCCCCUGCUGAUGACGGGGAUGAAGAUGAAGAUGGUGGUUUACAGCUGGGACCACCACCACAAGAAGGCAAUCAACAGCAUCCUCGCCCUGCUUAUCCUGGACACCAACAGAGACCACCUCAACAUGGAGGACAUCAGCUGCGUCAUCCUCCUCCUCCUCAUCCUGGACAUCAACAGGGAACACUGCAACAUGGAGGACAUCAGCAGCGACACCACCUUCCUUUUCCUGGACCCCAACGAGGACCAAUACCACAAGGAGGCCAGCAGUGGCAUUCUCACCGUCCUCGUCCUGGUAACCAACAGGGACUACCACGCUCUUCCCAAGGGAGCAGACCACAAGGACCUCCCCAAGGCCAACAACCCCAG
rnacentral:lncRNA from 1 species